CUUAGGAGGUGGUAGUGGAGAGUCGGGGGAGUAGGGGAAUCUCUUCCUCCCCGAGUGGUCCUUGAAGAGGAAGACCCCCACCCCAAAUGUGUGGCCAAGAAAACCAUUCAUGGAUUGAAGGAAUACAGUGUCUCACAAACAGUGGAACAUUGUUCCUGAGAGAUUUGGGUGAGAGUUGUCCCAAGAAUCCAGCAAACCAUGAGGUUGGCAGUUCUAAGUGUGCUGAAGCACUAAGGUUCUUGUUCAUUCUUGCUCAUGAAACCUUUCUGUAUACCGGAAGUGCAUAAUAGAGGAAAGGCUCAGUGGAAUGGAGGAAGAGAGAUAAUCAUAGAAACCCACAUUGAGCUACAUGACCCCUGGGAUGCAAUUUGAAGAUGAGUAUUCCAAAUUAUUUUUUCUCUGUCCAGAUGAUAGACUAAUAAGAGAAUCAAUCGAUCAAUCAAACUCAAUCAAUAAGAACCGAGCAAGGCUCAUCUGAGCAAUGAUGGAUGGUACUUGAAAGUGAAUUAGUGACUGAUUUGGAGAGAUUUCAGAGAGGUAGAGCUAACAGUGGCAAAUCAAGUUAACUUGUAUAUAUUGCUGACAGGAUGUGGGCUGGGCAAUAGCAAAUUCUUUCUAAUAGUCUCCAACUGCUUGUGAAGCUGACCUAGAGGCUGCUUCAAAUCUGAUAGAUUGAAACAAUUCCAUCUGAAAUCAUUUUUUCAGCCUUGUAAUUUUUGUAAUAAUAUGUAUCAGCCUAGAAACCUGCAUUUAAGCAUCUGAAUACAUCUGAACAGAGGCAAACAAUUCCCAACAAUGCCUCCACGACAAUAUGCUGUUGGUUGCUAAUUGGAAAAAAGCACAAGUAGUAAUUAGAAGGCAUUCUGUUGCUUGCUGGAAGGCUUCUCCCCUAAAUGGUUAAAAUAUUCAUCUUUGUAGGGUAACAACCUGAUUUAAAUUUUUGGAGUGUUGUGUUAGCAAUGCAUAUUUACUUUUUUUUUUUUUUUUUUUAGUCAUGUAGGAUGUGUGCACCAGCUUAAAAAUCAAGUCAUGCUCCAAAUGGUUACUAAUAUGGCCACUCCUGGGACCUCCUCUUUACUCCCUCUGGAGACGAAAUCCCUCUCGUGUCAAUUCACCUCAAUGCCUAUCUAAGCCACUGCCCUUCCUCCCAGUCCUUUUCAGGCCAUGGUGCCAGCAGGCUCUUUUCCCCAGCAAGAUGAUUGCCAAACAGAAGAGGAACAUUUUGUAAUGCAUCCUGAAAGAAUGUCAAACCCAGACUUUUAGAAAAUUCAGGAUCACAAAGAAUCUGACCAAGAUUGGGAAGAGAGAGCAACUGUGAAGAAGGAGGAUUCUUCAGAUAGAAAGACAG